GGCGUCUGCAGACCAGGUGACAGCUGGCGAGUGGCUGCAUCUCUGGCCGCUGCUGCAGUCGCGGGCGCAGAAGAGGGUCCGGUCCCAGGAACCCGGAUCAAAGCUUCCACGGUGCGAGGGGACCGGGCUUCUGGGGGUCCUGGAAAUCGCAACGGGAGCUGGGCGCGGGAGGGGCCCAGGCUUGGCCCCUCCUGGAAGCGCGGGCUCUGGUCUCCGAGGGGAGGCCCCGACCGUCCAGCGGAGCCGCCAGGCCCCUGACAUUUAUGGGAUCACAGACUAAGCGAGUCCUGCUCACCCCGCUCAUGCAUCCAGCUCGCCCUUUCCGGGUCUCCAACCAUGACAGGAGCAGCCGGCGUGGGGUGAUGGCAAGCAGCCUGCAGGAGCUCAUCAGCAAGACUCUGGAUGCCCUCGUCAUCACCACCGGACUGGUCACUCUGGUGCUGGAGGAAGAUGGCACCAUGGUGGACACAGAAGAGUUCUUUCAGACCUUGGGAGACAACACACAUUUCAUGAUCUUGGAAAAAGGACAGAAGUGGAUGCCGGUCAGCCAGCACAUCCCCACUUGCUCACCGCCGAAGAGGUCGGGAAUAGCGAGAGUCACCUUCGACUUGUACAGGCUGAACCCCAAGGACUUCAUCGGCUGCCUUAACGUGAAGGCCACCAUGUAUGAGAUGUACUCCGUGUCCUACGACAUCCGGUGCACGGGACUCAAGGGCCUGCUGAGGAGUCUGCUGCGGUUCCUGUCCUACUCCGCCCAGGUGACGGGACAGUUUCUCAUCUAUCUGGGCACGUACAUGCUCCGGGUGUUGGAUGACAAGGAAGAGCGGCCAUCCCUCCGGUCACAAGCCAAGGGCCGGUUCACGUGUGGAUAGGGAUGCAGGCUGUCACUGGCUCUUGAGCCAAACACUGUGUUUCGUUUGGCUCAAUGACGAAUGUUGAAGAUGCUUUUAUGUUCUGAGCCACAUACACUUGUAGGCCGCUGGUCACGCUGCUCAGGAGCGGUGCCCAGAAAAGGAAAGGGCCUGGUGGUACAUGAAGUGGGGGCUGUGGGCAGGGUGCCGUGGGGGGGAGGCAUAGAGGGCCCUGGGGGUCAUGGGAAGCGACCACGCAGCAGGCGUGCCCAGGAGCGUGUGCAUGUGUCAGAGCCAUUUGGUCCACCAUCUCCUGCAAUAAACCCAUCGCAAGAAUGACCUUCAA
rnacentral:sRNA from 1 species